ACCUCACCUCAAUUGACCCAAUAUUUGUUGCACCAAUUGCUGCAAUUGCAAUAAAACCUUGUUGCCAUUCACCUUCAAGGACAACCUGAUGACACAAUUUAGUGAAAUUUACUCAACAUGUAUCCAAAUGGAUACAAGAGAUGUAACC